rnacentral:rRNA from 1 species
CCUACGGGAGGCAGCAGUGGGGAAUCUUGCGCAAUGGGCGAAAGCCUGACGCAGCCAUGCCGCGUGAAUGAUGAAGGUCUUAGGAUUGUAAAAUUCUUUCACCGAGGACGAUAAUGACGGUACUCGGAGAAGAAGCCCCGGCUAACUUCGUGCCAGCAGCCGCGGUAAUACGAAGGGGGCUAGCGUUGCUCGGAAUUACUGGGCGUAAAGGGAGCGUAGGCGGAUAGUUUAGUCAGAGGUGAAAGCCCAGGGCUCAACCUUGGAAUUGCCUUUGAUACUGGCUAUCUUGAGUACGGAAGAGGUAUGUGGAACUCCGAGUGUAGAGGUGAAAUUCGUAGAUAUUCGGAAGAACACCAGUGGCGAAGGCGACAUACUGGUCCGUUACUGACGCUGAGGCUCGAAAGCGUGGGGAGCAAACAGGAUUAGAUACCCUGGUAGUCCACGCUGUAAACGAUGAGUGCUAGUUGUCGGCAUGCAUGCAUGUCGGUGACGCAGCUAACGCAUUAAGCACUCCGCCUGGGGAGUACGGUCGCAAGAUUAAAACUUCAAAGGAAUUGACGG